rnacentral:tRNA from 2 species
GCGCCAGUAGCUCAGUCGGAUAGAGCAACGGCCUUCUAAGCCGUGGGUCAGGGGUUCGAGUCCCUUCUGGCGCGCCA